AACUGCACAAGUUUGUCAGUAACUACAUUUUAAAAUAUUCAUUUAACAGUUAAAGCAAAUUAGACUGAUUGUAAAUAAUAACAAGUAUGUUUUAU